rnacentral:rRNA from 1 species
GACGAACGCUGGCGGCGUGCCUAAUACAUGCAAGUUGAGCGCUGAAGGAUGGUACUUGUACCAACUGGAUGAGCAGCGAACGGGUGAGUAACGCGUGGGGAAUCUGCCUUUGAGCGGGGGACAACAUUUGGAAACGAAUGCUAAUACCGCAUAAAAACUUUAAACACAAGUUUUAAGUUUGAAAGAUGCAAUUGCAUCACUCAAAGAUGAUCCCGCGUUGUAUUAGCUAGUUGGUGAGGUAAAGGCUCACCAAGGCGAUGAUACAUAGCCGACCUGAGAGGGUGAGCGGCCACAUUGGGACUGAGACACGGCCCAAACUCCUACGGGAGGCAGCAGUAGGGAAUCUUCGGCAAUGGACGAAAGUCUGACCGAGCAACGCCGCGUGAGUGAAGAAGGUUUUCGGAUCGUAAAACUCUGUUGGUAGAGAAGAACGUUGGUGAGAGUGGAAAGCUCAUCAAGUGACGGUAACUACCCAGAAAGGGACGGCUAACUACGUG